rnacentral:rRNA from 1 species
CCUACGGGAGGCAGCAGUGGGGAAUAUUGCACAAUGGGCGAAAGCCUGAUGCAGCAACGCCGCGUGAGCGAUGAAGGCCUUCGGGUCGUAAAGCUCUGUCCUCAAGGAAGAUAAUGACGGUACUUGAGGAGGAAGCCCCGGCUAACUACGUACCAGCCGCCGCGGUAAUACGUAGGGGGCUAGCGUUAUCCGGAAUUACCGGGCGUAAGGGUGGCGUAGGUGGUUUCUUAAGUCAGAGGUAAAGGGCUACGGCUCAACCGUAGUAAGCAGUUGAAACUGGGAAACUUGAGUGCAGGAGAGGAGAGUGGAAUUCGUGGUGUAGCGGUGAAAUGCGUAGAUAUUAGGAAGAACACCGGUUGCGAAGGCGGCUCUCUGGACUGUAACUGACACUGAGGCACGAAAGCGUGGGGAGCAAACAGGAUUAGAUACCCCGGUAGUC